GUAGGUGGCAAGCGUUGUCCGGAAUUAUUGGGCGUAAAGCGCGCGCAGGCGGUCCUUUAAGUCUGAUGUGAAAGCCCACGGCUCAACCGUGGAGGGUCAUUGGAAACUGGGGGACUUGAGUACAGAAGAGGAAAGCGGAAUUCCAAGUGUAGCGGUGAAAUGCGUAGAGAUUUGGAGGAACACCAGUGGCGAAGGCGGCUUUUCUGGUCUGUAACUGACGCUGAGGCGCGAAAGCGUGGGGAGCAAACAGGGAUUAGAUACCCUGGUAGUCCACGCCGUAAACGAUGAGUGCUAAGUGUUAGGGGGUUUCCCGCCCCUUAGUGCUGCAGCUAACGCAUUAAGCACUCCGCCUGGGGAGUACGGCCGCAAGGCUG
rnacentral:rRNA from 1 species